rnacentral:rRNA from 1 species
AUAUCAAUAAGCGGAGGAAAAGAAACUAACAAGGAUUCCCCUAGUAACUGCGAGUGAAGCGGGAAAAGCUCAAAUUUGUAAUCUGGCGCAAGCCCGAGUUGUAAUCUGGAGAAGCGUUUUCAGCCGUCGGCCCAGGACAAGUCCCUUGGAACAGGGCGUCAUAGAGGGUGAGAAUCCCGUGCUUGCCUGGCCACCGACGUCUAUGUGAUACGCUCUCGAAGAGUCGAGUUGUUUGGGAAUGCAGCUCAAAACGGGUGGUAAAUUCCAUCUAAAGCUAAAUAUUGGCGAGAGACCGAU